AUUGAACGCUGGCGGCAUGCCUUACACAUGCAAGUCGAACGGCAGCACGGGGCAAUCUGGUGGCGAGUGGCGAACGGGUGAGUAAUGCAUCGGAACGUGCCAUUGAGUGGGGGAUAACGUAGCGAAAGUUGCGCUAAUACCGCAUAUUCUGUGAGCAGGAAAGCAGGGGACCGCAAGGCCUUGCGCUCUUUGAGCGGCCGAUGUCAGAUUAGCUAGUUGGUGAGGUAACGGCUUACCAAGGCGACGAUCUGUAGCGGGUCUGAGAGGAUGAUCCGCCACACUGGAACUGAGACACGGUCCAGACUCCUACGGGAGGCAGCAGUGGGGAAUUUUGGACAAUGGGCGCAAGCCUGAUCCAGCCAUGCCGCGUGAGUGAAGAAGGCCUUCGGGUU
rnacentral:rRNA from 1 species